rnacentral:tRNA from 2 species
GCGGAUUUAGCUCAGUUGGGAGAGCGCCAGACUGAAGAAAAACUUUGGUCAAGUCAUCUGGAGGUCCUGUGUUCGAUCCACAGAAUUCGCA